rnacentral:rRNA from 1 species
AUUAAUAAUAUUAUUUAUUAAUUUUGAAUUAUAUAUAUAAACAUAAAAUUUUUUUUUUAUAAGUAUAAGAAGUAUAGAAAUUAUUAUUAUUAUAGUACUGUGAGGGAUUAUUGUAAAAUUUAUAAUAGUAGAAUUUAAAAUUUCGUACCUUUUGCAUAAUGGGUUGAUGAUAUAUUUAGUGUUUAUAACUUAUUCUCGAGAUAAAAUGAUUUACUUUGUAAUAUAAUUGUUAACGUGGUAUGGUUAUAAUUUAAAUAUAAAGUAGUAAUGAAAUGUUUUUCGAAUUUUAUGGUGGCUAGUUUAUUAGUGAAUAAUAUUUUAGUAUUUGAAUAUUUAAACAUUUUAAAAAUGUUUAAAUAUUAUUGAAAUUAUAAGGGAUAAGCUUUAUAAUAAUUUAUAGAUUAUUUUAAAUAUUUAUUAUACUAUAAAGUAGAAUUAAAAUUGUUUUUCUUUUGUAUUUAAUAGUUAUUAAAUAUAUUAUAAUCAGAUCGUAGCUAAUAAAUUUUUAUUAAUUAUAAAUAAAUAAAUAUUAUGUUAAUAUGAGUAUUAAUUAUAUUAUUAUAUUUUGAUUUAAUAGAAUUGUAUUAUUAAAUUUUUGUAAUAAAAUGAAAUAAAAUAAAGGAAUUAGGCAAAUAUAAAUCUCGCCUGUUUAUCAAAAACAUGUCUCUUUGUUUUUUAUAUAUAAAGAGUUGGGCCUGCUCGGUGAAUAAAUAAUUUUUAACAGCUGCGGUAUUUUAACUGUACUAAGGUAGCAUAAUAAUUUGCCUUAUAAAUUGAGGCUAGAAUGAAUGGUUUGACGAAGGUUUAUCUGUCUCUAUUUUAUUUUGUAGAAAUUAAUUUUUAUAGUGAGAAAGCUUAAAUGUUUUAAAGGGACGAGAAGACCCUAAUGAGCUUUUAAUUUAAUAGUAUUUAAUGUAAAAUUGAAUGUAAAGUUGUAUAAAUUUUAAUUGGGGUGAUUAAGGAAUAAAAUUAUUUUAAAUAAUAACUUCCUUAAAUGUAGUAUUGUUAGAUUAAUUAACCAAUAUUAUUGCUUAUAAUAGAGUUACCAUAGGGAUAACAGCGUAAUUUAUUUAGAGAGCUCAUAUUGAAAAAUAAGUUUGCGACCUCGAUGUUGGAUUAAAGUAACCUUAAGGUGCAGAAGCUUUAAUAGGUAAAUCUGUUCGAUUUUUAAUACUUUACAUGAUCUGAGUUCAGACCGGUGUAAGCCAGGUUGGUUUCUAUCUUUUAAAAUAGUUAAUUUUUUAUUUAGUACGAAAGGACCAUUAAAGUUAAUUUGAUUAAAAA